AUUGAAUUUUGAACUUGAGAAAUUGAUUGAAAUGAUUGUGGAGUUGUUGAAAUGGAUUGAGUUUGAUUAUGAAAUUGAAGUAGUUGUUGAGAAAACAUUUUUAGAAGUGUUUUUUACAGGUAUUUGAAGAACUGGUUUCUCAAAAUACAGACAGAACUCUAUCAAAAUUUUUAUAAAAUUUGCGGCAAAAUUAAAAUGGACAAAAAUUUUACUAGUUUUUAAGCUUUGAA
rnacentral:misc_RNA from 1 species